GGGGAUGUCUUGGAUUCGACAGGGGUCAGUUUGAAUUAAGUCGCAGUCGUAGGAGUACGUUAAACUCACCAACAAAUAUCUGGAAACAGAACAAAUUACGCUUUCGCUUAGUAGUCGACAUAGACUCGCGAAUGCAGGCCUUUGAGAUCUCAUACUCGAAGAUCCCUGUACUAUAACCUAGUGAGAUAAGGUGCGUGCGUUGUCUCGCGUACGUACUCGAAAAUCUUGAGAAUCGGUAAGUGAAAGACUGCCUGUGGAUCGUAGCUUACUUAAAUCUAUUCGACAGGAUAAACUGUAGAAGCUUAAUAUGGGACGGCUUUUGGACAGGGGUUCGAUUCCCCUCAUCUCCACCA
rnacentral:tmRNA from 1 species